rnacentral:rRNA from 1 species
CAAGUCGAACGCUCCUGGGGCUUCGGUUCCAGGGGAGUGGCGCACGGGUGAGUAGCGCGUGGGAACCUGCCCUGUUGUGGGGGAUAACCGAGGGAAACUUCGGCUAAUACCGCAUGCGCCCGGGAAACCGGGGAAAGAUUUAUCGCAGCAGGAGGGGCCCGCGUCGGAUUAGCUAGUUGGUGGGGUAACGGCCUACCAAGGCGAUGAUCCGUAGCUGGUCUGAGAGGAUGAUCAGCCACACUGGGACUGAGACACGGCCCAGACUCCUACGGGAGGCAGCAGUGGGGAAUAUUGGACAAUGGGCGCAAGCCUGAUCCAGCAAUGCCGCGUGAGUGAUGAAGGCCUUCGGGUUGUAAAGCUCUUUCGCCCGCGACGAUGAUGACGGUAGCGGGAGAAGAAGCCCCGGCUAACUUCGUGCCAGCAGCCGCGGUAAUACGAAGGGGGCGAGCGUUGUUCGGAAUUACUGGGCGUAAAGGGCGCGUAGGCGGCCCUCCUAGUCGCGUGUGAAAGCCCCGGGCUCAACCUGGGAACGGCGCGCGAAACGGGGGGGCUGGAGUUCGGGAGAGGAGCGUGGAAUUCCCAGUGUAGAGGUGAAAUUCGUAGAUAUUGGGAAGAACACCGGUGGCGAAGGCGGCGCUCUGGACCGAGACUGACGCUGAGGCGCGAAAGCGUGGGGAGCAAACAGGAUUAGAUACCCUGGUAGUCCACGCCGUAAACGAUGUGUGCUAGACGUUGGGGAGCCUAGCUCUUCGGUGUCGCCCAAACGCUUUAGCACACCGCCUGGGGAGUACGGCCGCAAGGUUAAACUCAAGGAAUUGACGGGGGCCCCCACAAGCGGUGGAACAUGU